UACAGAGGUCUCAAGCGUUGUUCGGAUUCAUUGGGCGUAAAGGGUGUGUAGGUGGCGCCGUAAGUCGGGUGUGAAAUUUCGGAGCUUAACUCCGAAACUGCAUUCGAUACUGCGGUGCUUGAGGACUGGAGAGGAGACUGGAAUUCAUGGUGUAGCAGUGAAAAUGCGCAGAUAUCAGGAAGAACACCCGUGGCGAAGGCGGUUCUCUGGGACGGUACUGACGCUGAGACGCGAAAGCGUGGGGAGCGAACAGG
rnacentral:rRNA from 1 species